UACGUAGGGUGCGAGCGUUUAAUCGGAAUUACUGGGCGUAAAGCGUGCGCAGGCGGUCUGUUAAGACCGAUGUGAAAUCCCCCGGGCUUAACCUGGGAACUGCAUUGGUGACUGGCAGGCUUUGAGUGUGGCAGAGGGAGGUAGAAUUCCACGUGUAGCAGUGAAAUGCGUAGAGAUGUGGAGGAAUACCGAUGGCGAAGGCAGCCUCCUGGGCCAACACUGACGCUCAUGCACGAAAGCGUGGGGAGCAAACAGGAUUGAGAAACCCUAGG
rnacentral:rRNA from 1 species